rnacentral:tRNA from 1 species
GCUCGGGUGGCGAAAUGGAAACCGCAGAUGACUUAAGAUCAUCCGCCCGCAAGGGCUUGAGAGUUCGAGUCUCUCCCCGAGCA